rnacentral:rRNA from 1 species
AUGAACGCUAGCUACAGGCUUAACACAUGCAAGUCGAGGGGCAGCAUGAACUUAGCUUGCUAAGUUUGAUGGCGACCGGCGCACGGGUGAGUAACACGUAUCCAACCUGCCGAUGACUCGGGGAUAGCCUUUCGAAAGAAAGAUUAAUACCCGAUGGCAUAGUUCUUCCGCAUGGUAGAACUAUUAAAGAAUUUCGGUCAUCGAUGGGGAUGCGUUCCAUUAGGUUGUUGGCGGGGUAACGGCCCACCAAGCCUUCGAUGGAUAGGGGUUCUGAGAGGAAGGUCCCCCACAUUGGAACUGAGACACGGUCCAAACUCCUACGGGAGGCAGCAGUGAGGAAUAUUGGUCAAUGGACGAGAGUCUGAACCAGCCAAGUAGCGUGAAGGAUGACUGCCCUAUGGGUUGUAAACUUCUUUUAUACGGGAAUAAAGUGAGGCACGUGUGCCUUUUUGUAUGUACCGUAUGAAUAAGGAUCGGCUAACUCCGUGCCAGCAGCCGCGGUAAUACGGAGGAUCCGAGCGUUAUCCGGAUUUAUUGGGUUUAAAGGGAGCGUAGGCGGACGCUUAAGUCAGUUGUGAAAGUUUGCGGCUCAACCGUAAAAUUGCAGUUGAUACUGGGUGUCUUGAGUACAGUAGAGGCAGGCGGAAUUCGUGGUGUAGCGGUGAAAUGCUUAGAUAUCACGAAGAACUCCGAUUGCGAAGGCAGCCUGCUGGACUGUAACUGACGCUGAUGCUCGAAAGUGUGGGUAUCAAACAGGAUUAGAUACCCUGGUAGUCCACACAGUAAACGAUGAAUACUCGCUGUUUGCGAUAUACAGUAAGCGGCCAAGCGAAAGCGUUAAGUAUUCCACCUGGGGAGUACGCCGGCAACGGUGAAACUCAAAGGAAUUGACGGGGGCCCGCACAAGCAGUGGAGUAUGUGGUUUAAUUCGACGCAACGCGAAGAACCUUACCAGGUCUUGACAUUGAUCGCGAUCUGCAGAAAUGCGGAGUUCUUCUUCGGAAGACGAGAAAACAGGUGGUGCACGGCUGUCGUCAGCUCGUGUCGUGAGAUGUUGGGUUAAGUCCCGCAACGAGCGCAACCCCUGUUCUUAGUUGCCAGCAUGUAAAGAUGGGAACUCUAAGAAGACUGCCGUAGACAAUACGGAGGAAGGUGGGGAUGACGUCAAAUCAUCAUGCCCCUUAUGACCUGGGCUACACACGUGCUACAAUGGCGCAUACAAAGAGAAGCGACCUCGCGAGAGCAAGCGGACCUCAUAAAGUGCGUCGUAGUCCGGAUUGGAGUCUGCAACUCGACUCCAUGAAGUCGGAAUCGCUAGUAAUCGUGGAUCAGAAUGCCACGGUGAAUACGUUCCCGGGCCUUGUACACACCGCCCGUCACACCAUGAGAGUUGGGGAUACCCGAAGCCUGUGAGCCAACAGUUAAAUGAGGCAGCAGUCGAAGGUAGAAUCAAUGAUUGGGGUG